AUUGAACGCUGGCGGCAGGCCUAACACAUGCAAGUCGAGCGGAUGAAAGGAGCUUGCUCCUGGAUUCAGCGGCGGACGGGUGAGUAAUGCCUAGGAAUCUGCCUGGUAGUGGGGGACAACGUUUCGAAAGGAACGCUAAUACCGCAUACGUCCUACGGGAGAAAGCAGGGGACCUUCGGGCCUUGCGCUAUCAGAUGAGCCUAGGUCGGAUUAGCUAGUUGGUGAGGUAAUGGCUCACCAGGCGACGAUCCGUAACUGGUCUGAGAGGAUGAUCAGUCACACUGGAACUGAGACACGGUCCAGACUCCUACGGGAGGCAGCAGUGGGGAAUAUUGGACAAUGGGCGAAAGCCUGAUCCAGCCAUGCCGCGUGUGUGAAGAAGGUCUUCGGAUUGUAAAGCACUUUAAGUUGGGAGGAAGGGUUGUAGAUUAAUACUCUGCAAUUUUGACGUUACCGACAGAAUAAGCACCGGCUAACUCUGUGCCAGCAGCCGCCGUAAAAC
rnacentral:rRNA from 1 species